rnacentral:rRNA from 1 species
AUUGAACGCUGGCGGCAGGCCUAACACAUGCAAGUCGAACGAGUGGCGGACGGGUGAGUAAUGUCUGGGAAACUGCCCGAUGGAGUGGGAUAACUACUGGAAACGGUAGCUAAUACCGCGUACCAUCGGUUGUGCCCAGAUGGGAUUAGCUUGUAGGUGAGGUAACGGCUCACCUAGGCGACGAUCCCUAGCUGGUCUGAGAGGAGGACCAGGCACACUGGAGCUGAGACACGGUCCAGACUACUACGGGAGGGGGCAGAGGGGAAUAUUGCACAAGGGGAGCAAGCCUGAUGCAGCCAUGCCGCGUGUAUGAAGAAGGGCUUCGGGUUGUAAAGUAAUUUCAGCGUGGAGGAGUUACCAGCAGAAGAAGCACCGGCUAACUCCGUGCCAGCCGCCGCGGUAAUUC